UAGGGAAUCUUCCGCAAUGGGCGAAAGCCUGACGGAGCAACGCCGCGUGAGUGAUGAAGGUCUUGGGAUCGUAAAACUCUGUUAUUAGGGAAGAACAAAUGUGUAAGUAACUAUGCACGUCUUGACGGUACCUAAUCAGAAAGCCACGGCUAACUACGUGCCAGCAGCCGCGGUAAUACGUAGGUGGCAAGCGUUAUCCGGAAUUAUUGGGCGUAAAGCGCGCGUAGGCGGUUUUUGAAGUCUGAUGUGAAAGACCACGGCUCAACCGCGGAGGGUCAUAGGAGACUGGAAAACUUGAGUGCAGAAGAGGAGAGUGGAAUUCCAUGUGUAGCGGUGAAAUGCGCAGAGAUAUGGAGAGAAACCAGUGGCGAAGGCGAAUGUCUGGUCUGUAACUGACGCUGAUGUGCGAGAGCGUGGGGAUAAAAAAGG
rnacentral:rRNA from 1 species